UCAAUUAAUUGCUUUUCAUCAAAACGCGUCAUUUUGUUUUCUCUCUAGAAUUAUUGGAAAUUUUAGCUUUGGAGUUAUUUUUGUUAUAUAAUACAAAAAAAAAGCGCAAAUGACAAUCGAGUUAUACAAAUUGCUCGCCCAGGUUUUAGUUGAGGAUGCAGAGCUAAUUGAUGGCCGUUAUGAAAACCCGGAGCUCCUGAAAAUGGUCGAGAAUAAUCGCAACCGGAAUCGUCAAUUUAUUCUGUUUUACCGAAACAGCCCCAUAGGUGAUCGGCCAUUCGUCCAUCAUGGCAUCCGACAAGUUAUCUCACGAGAACACCCUCACCCUCUUCAGUCAGUAUGAUUUCUAGAGGACGCAACCGGAAC